rnacentral:lncRNA from 1 species
GAACUUUAAGUUUAUUUAUUUUCUAAAAAAAUUAUUUUCCAGUUUUUAAUUUAUUUAUUUAUUUAUUUUCGAAUUUUCAGUUUAUUUAUUUAUUUAUUUCCAGUUUAUUUAUUUUCUGAAUUUUCAAUUUAUUUAAUUAAAGAGUAAAAAAAGAAAGAAAGAAAUAGCUUAUAUAAAAAAGAACACUUUAAUAAGUCAAGGCAUAAUGUAUGUUAAAUAGCUAAUGAAAGAUUAGUAAAAGUAAUCAAAAUAUAUUAACACUACCCUUUUAGUCUUUUACACCACUUUUACACCACCUUUUUCAGCUUUCUUAGUUUCCGUGCCGACCAUCAAAUGGGUAGUUGAUUGGUGGACGGAGGGAGUAUA